rnacentral:tRNA from 17 species
ACGGCAGUAGCUCAGCUGGAUAGAGCAUCGGCCUUCUAAGCCGAGGGUCGGGGGUUCGAGCCCCUCCUGCCGUACCA